GGAGAGUACAGCUCAGGGGUGGAGCAAGUGCUUAGCAUGCACAAGGUCCUGGGUUCGACCCCCAGUACCUCCA
rfam:Camelus ferus unplaced genomic scaffold scaffold1402, whole genome shotgun sequence.